rfam:Ajellomyces capsulatus NAm1 scaffold_67 genomic scaffold, whole genome shotgun sequence.
UGACCUCGGAUCAGGUAGGGACAAUCGCUGAACUUAAGCAUAUCAAUAAGCGGAGGAAAAGAAACUAACAGGGAUUGCCUCAGUAACGGCGAGUGAAGCGGCAAGAGCUCAAAUUUGAAAUCCGGCCCCUCUGGGGGCCUGAGUUGUAAUUUGCAGAGGAUGCUUCGGGCGCGACCGCGGUCCAAGUCCCCUGGAACGGGGCGUCGUAGAGGGUGAGAAUCCCGUCUCCGGCCGGCCGGUCUCGCCCGUGUGAAGCUCCUUCGACGAGUCGAGUUGUUUGGGAAUGCAGCUCUAAAUGGGUGGUAAAUUUCAUCUAAAGCUAAAUACUGGUCGGAGACCGAUAGCGCACAAGUAGAGUGAUCGAAAGAUGAAAAGCACUUUGAAAAGAGAGUUAAACAGCAUGUGAAAUUGUUGAAAGGGAAGCGCUUGCGAUCAGAGUCGGCCGCGGGGGUUCAGCGGGCAUUCGUUGCCCGUGCAAUCCCCCGCGGCCGGGCCAGCGUCGGUUUCGACGGCCGGUCAAAGGCCCCCGGAAUGUGUCGCCUCUCGGGGCGUCUUAUAGCCGGGGGUGCAAUGCGGCCAGUCGGGACCGAGGAACGCGCUCCGGCACGGACGCUGGCUUAAUGGUCGUCAGCGACCCGUCUUGAAACACGGACCAAGGAGUCUAACAUCCACGCGAGUGUUCGGGUGUCAAACCCGUCCGCGCAGUGAAAGCGAAUGGAGGUGGGAACCCCUGAGGGUGCACCAUCGACCGAUCCUGAAGUUUUCGGAUGGAUUUGAGUAGGAGCGUGGCUGUUGGGACCCGAAAGAUGGUGAACUAUGCCUGAAUAGGGUGAAGCCAGAGGAAACUCUGGUGGAGGCUCGCAGCGGCUCUGACGUGCAAAUCGAUCGUCAAAUUUGGGUAUAGGGGCGAAAGACUAAUCGAACCAUCUGGUAGCUGGUUCCUGCCGAAGUUUCCCUCAGGAUAGCAGUAACGUUUUCAGUUUUAUGAGGUAAAGCGAAUGAUUAGAGGCCUUGGGGUUGAAACAACCUUAACCUAUUCUCAAACUUUAAAUAUGUAAGAAGCCCUUGUUACUUCGUUGAACGUGGGCACUGGAAUGGAUCGUUACUAGUGGGCCAUUUUUGGUAAGCAGAACUGGCGAUGCGGGAUGAACCGAACGCGAGGUUAAGGUGCCGGAAUGCACGCUCAUCAGACACCACAAAAGGUGUUAGUUCAUCUAGACAGCCCGACGGUGGCCAUGGAAGUCGGAAUCCGCUAAGGAGUGUGUAACAACUCACGGGCCGAAUGAACUAGCCCUGAAAAUGGAUGGCGCUCAAGCGUGCUACCCAUACCUCGCCGUCGGGGUAGGAUCGAUGCCCCGACGAGUAGGCAGGCGUGGAGGUCCGUGACGAAGCCCGGGGAGUGAUCCCGGGUCGAACGGCCUCUAGUGCAGAUCUUGGUGGUAGUAGCCCAUACUCAAAUGAGAACUUUGAGGACUGAAGUGGGGAAAGGUUCCAUGUGAACAGCAGUUGGACAUGGGUUAGUCGAUCCUAAGACAUAGGGAAAUUCCGUUUGAAAGCGCGCCCUCGUGCGCCGUCCGUCGAAAGGCAAGCCGGUUAACAUUCCGGCACCUGGAUGUGGAAUCUCCACGGCAACGUAACUGAACGCGGAACACGUCCGCGGGGGUCCCGGGGAAGAGUUCUCCUUUCUUCCUGACGGCCUGUCACCCUGAAAAUUAGUUUGUCCGGAUCCAGGGGCUCCAUUGGUCGGCUAGAGCCCCUCCCCUUUGCGGGGGAUCGGGGGUGCCCCUCGACGACCCCUUGGAAAUCAUUUGGAAGGAAAUAAGUUAUACGCCAGGUCGUAACACUUAAGCGCCAGAGGUCUUUCGAGAGUAUAAAUGUCUCUAUGUGAGAUAAAUGAUUGUGAAAAGGGUAUGCGAGUAGAUUAUAAUCCCUAACUGCCGCUCAAUCGUUUUGUUUUCUAAUUGUUUGAUUCUUUUUUUUUUUUUCUGCUUUUUUUAUCUUUUUUUUUUCUAUUUUGUUUUUUUUUUUUUUUU